rnacentral:rRNA from 1 species
ACGGAGGGUCCAAGCGUUAUCCGGAUUUAUUGGGUUUAAAGGGUUCGUAGGCGGGGUAUUAAGUCAGUGGUGAAAGCCCACAGCUCAACUGUGGAACUGCCAUUGAUACUGGUACUCUUGAGUAUAGUAGAAGUUAGCGGAAUGUGUCAUGUAGCGGUGAAAUGCUUAGAUAUGACCCAGAACACCGAUUGCGAAAGCAGCUAACUAUGUUAUUACUGACGCUGAGGAACGAAAGCGUGGGGAGCGAACAGG